UGAUUUGGGUAGAUACAGGCGUACGGUCGAGGGAGAGAGGGAUUUCCAGGGAAGCAGCUGAUCUGCGGAGAGGUGCCGAAAACACGGAGAGGAAAGGUAAGGAAGAAGUACAGUGCCAGCGGAGUUGCGCGGCGCCAUUAAAUGCGCCGUUUUGGGUAGAUACAGGCGAACGGUCUAGGGAGAGAGCGAUUUCCGGGGAAGCGGCGGAUCCGCGGAGAGGGUAACGCUAGGCGAACAUAGGGUUCGCGAGAAAGGGAGAGGGAGAAGUUGCUGCGCAAGGGACCCACAUGCCGAAAACGCGAAGGAGAGGUAAGGAAGAAGUACAGUGCCAGCGGAAAGACGCGGAGAUGAGAGGUAAGGAAGAAGUACAGUGCCAGCGAAGAUGUACGAAGCCACACAGAGGGCGAGAGGGGGAACCGAAAAUGCGGACAAAAAGGACCGAAAACAGGGAGAGGAAAAGGCGGAGAGAGUGGAACCUAAAAGGCAAACAUGAGGGACCCACCCAAACCGAAAACGCGGAUGCACUGUGGAGCAAGUUUUCGGUUUGCCCUUUAAUGUAUUGGUAUUGAUUGUGAUUAUAAUAUAGUUUGUUUUAUUCUUUUUUCAUAAUUUUUUUGGAACUAUUUUAUUCUUAGAUUUUGUUUAGUGAUUAUGGGGAGAUUGUGUUGCGCAAAGAAGUAUAAUAGAAAAAUACCCUAUUUGUUUCGUAUGCAAUAUUAUAUUCCACAUAUCGCAAUAAGUUGGUUACAUAAUAUUUCCUACGGUCUGAACAGAAAAUACAAAAGUAUAUCCUUAUAUGCUUUCGCACUGACUCAAAUUUACCUAUUGGUCACACCAAUUCAAUUUUAUUAAUUGGUAUUAGAUGAACCUCAAUACCAAAAUGGCCUUUAAAAUAUUACAGGAAAACACCAAAUAUAUAAACAAAUAAAAUAA
rnacentral:lncRNA from 1 species